CGAGCACGGCGCGGAGGAGGCGGCGAGAGGUGCAGAGGAGGCGCUCUCGCAUGCUAAGGAGAUAGCUGAGGACAAGGUGUUCGACGCUGCGUCCAAAGUGAAGGAGACCGCCGUGGGAGCCAAGGACAAGGUCUCCGAAGCGGCGGGCAAAGCCAAGGAGAGGGCGUCUCACGUCCAGCACGGAGCAGCAGAGACCGUGAGGAAUGCCAAGGACAAGGUCUCUCACGCCGCGAGACAUGCCCGGGAGAGCGCUAGGGAGCGCGCCAUGGACGCCAAGGACAGGGUCUCCGACGUCGCCGAGAGAGCCGAGCAGUGCACGGAGGACGCCGCGGGGCGCGCGGCGCAGAAGGCGGCGCGGGCCGAGGAGGCCGUGAAGGCGAAGGCCGGCGAGGCGGCCAGCAACCUCUCCGACAUCGCGCGGAGGGCGCGCGACGUGGCGUCCGACGCCGCCGCGCACCUCCUCGGCGGCGGGCCCAGGGAGGCGGCGCGCACCGCGACGGCGGUGAUGCACCUGCUGGGGUUCGCCGCGGCGUACGGCGCGUCCCUGUGGGUGACGUUCGUGUCCAGCUACGUCCUCGCCGCGGCGCUGCCCCGGCAGCAGCUCG
rnacentral:lncRNA from 1 species